GACGAACGCUGGCGGCGUGCCUAAUACAUGCAAGUAGAACGCAGUUGCGAACGGGUGAGUCACGCGUCGGUAACUUCCUGGUAGCGGGGGAUAACUAUUGGAAACGAUAGCUAAUACCGCAUACUACCAGAUGGACCUGCGUUGUAUUAGCUAGUGGGUGGGGUAACGGCUCACCAAGGCAACGAUACAUAGCCGACCUGAGAGGGUGAUCGGCCACACUGGAAAUGAGACACGGUCCGGACUCCUACGGGAGGCAGCAGUGGGGAAUAUUGCACAAUGGGCGCAAGCCUGAUGCAGCCAUGCCGCGUGUGUGAAGAAGGCCUUCGGGUUGUAAAGCACUUUCAGCGGGGAGCGUUACCCGCAGAAGAAGCACCGGCUAACUCCGUGCCAGCCGCCGCGGUAAUAC
rnacentral:rRNA from 1 species